rnacentral:sRNA from 1 species
CUGAUGAAGGCCCUCCUGGCCGGGCCCCUCCGGCCCGCGGCGCGUCGCUGGAGGAAUCCGAUUCCCUUUCCCGAGACGUUUGACGGCGAUACCGACCGACUCCCGGAGUUCAUCGUGCAGACGUGCUCCUACAUGUUCGUGGACGAGAACACGUUCUCCAACGACGCCCUGAAGCCCAGCCCCUCCAUGCACAUUUGGACGCUGUCCUGCACUUCAGGUGCAAGCUGGGCUCCUGUUACAUACUGGACAGACCACCCACAGCCGCUGCUGCCAACCCACCUCCACUCCUCCAGACUGCCAGCCAACUACAUCAUUCUGCCCACAGACCUACGCUACCACUGCCAUCGCCAUCCACCGCAUCUCACCAACAGACUGCGGCUCCUAGUGAUGUGGACUCACCUCGGAGGUAUCCGAGCUGGACACAGCCCCUGGACAGUGAUCCAGACAGCUGGCCGUCCCCCAAGGAGCCUGUCACCUUCAGCGAGACCCAUUUCCUCCCCAUCCCCAGAGACCUCUUGUGUUCCUGCCACAUAGCUGCCAGGGCUUAAGUGUGCCUGGCAACCAAAUCGAAUCUCUCAUUUUCUCCUGUGGACCAGUUAGUUUUGCCUAGAAUCCUGUUUUCUUCUGAAUUUGCAGCUGUCUCUCUGAUGGGUGCCUUUUGUUCAACACAGUAAGCCCUGCUCCCUUCCCUGCUCUAAUACACUACCUGUACAAAGGUUUUUUCCUUAUUUUUAAUAAAUGUCAGACACUAUUAAAUAGAAA